rnacentral:tRNA from 1 species
GGUUCCAUAGUGUAAUGGUUAGCACGUCUGCUUCACACGCAGAAGGUCCUGGGUUCACCCCCCAGGUGGAGGCA